rnacentral:rRNA from 1 species
UACGAAGGGGGCUAGCGUUGUCCGGAGUUACUGGGCGUAAAGCGCGCGUAGGCGGUUUGUUAAGUCAGCUGUGAAAGCCCCGGGCUCAACCUGGGAACUGCAGUUGAUACUGUCCGACUAGAGUACGAGAGAGGGAGGUAGAAUUCCAUGUGUAGCGGUGAAAUGCGUAGAUAUAUGGAGGAAUACCAGUGGCGAAGGCGGCCUCCUGGCUCGAUACUGACGCUGAGGUGCGAAAGCGUGGGGAUCAAACAGG